CCUACGGGCGGCUGCAGUGGGGAAUAUUGCACAAUGGGGGAAACCCUGAUGCAGCGACGCCGCGUGAAGGAAGAAGGAUUUCGGUAUGUAAACUUCUAUCAGCAGGGAAGAAAAUGACGGUACCUGACUAAGAAGCCCCGGCUAACUACGUGCCAGCAGCCGCGGUAAUACGUAGGGGGCAAGCGUUAUCCGGAUUUACUGGGUGUAAAGGGAGCGUAGGCGGCGAUGCAAGUCAGAAGUGAAAGCCCGGGGCUCAACUCCGGGACUGCUGUUGAAACUGUGUUGCUAGAUUGCAGGAGAGGUAAGUGGAAUUCGUGGUGUAGCGGUGAAAUGCUUAGAUAUCACGAAGAACUCCGAUUGCGAAGGCAGUUCACUGGACUGCAACUGACACUGAGGCUCGAAAGUGUGGGUAUCAAACAGGAUUAGAUACCCGAGUAGUC
rnacentral:rRNA from 1 species